rnacentral:rRNA from 1 species
AGAACGAACGCUGGCGGCAGGCCUAACACAUGCAAGUCGAACGCCGUAGCAAUACGGAGUGGCAGACGGGUGAGUAACGCGUGGGAACAUACCCCUCGGUUCGGAAUAACUCAGGGAAACUUGAGCUAAUACCGGAUACGUCCGAGGUUUUAAUCGACCUUGGAGAAAGAUUUAUCGCCGGAGGAUUGGCCCGCGUCUGAUUAGCUUGUUGGUGAGGUAAUGGCUCACCAAGGCGACGAUCAGUAGCUGGUCUGAGAGGAUGAUCAGCCACAUUGGGACUGAGACACGGCCCAAACUCCUACGGGAGGCAGCAGUGGGGAAUAUUGGACAAUGGGCGAAAGCCUGAUCCAGCCAUGCCGCGUGAGUGAUGAAGGCCUUAGGGUUGUAAAGCUCUUUUGCCCGGGAAGAUAAUGACGGUACCGGGAGAAUAAGCCCCGGCUAACUUCGUGCCAGCAGCCGC